rnacentral:lncRNA from 1 species
AUCCCGACCUGGACUCCUUCUACGUCAGCAGGAGGGCCAGGCAGGGUGGACAGCCAACGACAACAGCCUGACCAACGACAACAGCCUGACCAACGACAGCAGCCUGCCCCACUGCAGCAGCCUGCCCCACAUCAACAGCCUGCACCACUGCAGCAGCCUGGCCCACACCAACAGCCUGGCCAACCUCUGUCAUCAGGAGCUGCAACAUCGGGAUCAGAGCAGUCAGAGUAUGUGGAGGACAGCGAAAAAUGCCACACCAACUCCUGGAAUGGAGGCACAGGCGUUCUGGGCCAAUUCACCUAUCGGCCUCAUUCCUACAUCAUCCACUGCCACAAGCUCUGCUCUGCAGGAAAGACGUUUGGUGCCAAUCUUCUAGCUUUCUGCCAGGAGUACAGACCCACUGGAGCUGAGAUCCGUCACAUCCUGGCCAAGCAUCUUUCAGCCUGUGAAUAUCAAAAACUGACUGGACAAUUGCCUGAUGUGACAAUUGCUCUCAAACACAAAGACUGGACAAACAACUUAAAUGAUGGAUUCGUUGCCGCAGUGAGGACGCUUGUUGCCCACCUCGAAACUGCGUUCCCCGAUAAAGUCUGUAUGAUUAAAGUCACCACAUGCAAACAACAACCAGAGGAAUCGGUUGAUGACUUUGUUCACCGCAUCACCACCGCAUACAACACUCACGGAGGGGCUCAACCUCCCCCUGAAGGAGUGGGAGGACUCAUCUGUUCAACAUACGAGAGUCACCUGUGCGAACUGGUGAUGAAAGGCUUACUCCCUGAAUUUUUUGACGCUGUGAAGCAGUCAUACAUCGGAUGGAAAGAAGAAGCGCGUCUGUCUGACCUCACAAGACACGCACACCAUGCUUAUGACACUCUCCAGCAGAAGAAGAUGGCGAAGAAGGAAAAACAACAGAGCGAACUGUAUCUGCCAUCCUUGGAGAUGUUCUCUGCGAUGCAUAACAACUACAGAGGAGUGCACAGGUUUCGCGGGCGAGCAAGAGGAAGAGACUUUAGACGGAAUUGGCCCGACAGAGACACAGGAGGCGCAUCUGGAGAUCCAGGAAACGUUUGCCACAUCUGCGGCGAGAUGGGACACUGGAGGAAGUACUGCCCCCGGCUACGUCAGGUUCCACCCUCCCGGGCACUCUCGUCAGACUGA